AAGUCGUAACAAGGUUUCCGUAGGUGAACCUGCGGAAGGAUCAUUAUCAGAGUAGGAAGUCGUGGUUUAGCGCCCCGCUUGCGGGGGGCUGGGCCUCGACCCUCUCCACCCGUGUUUAUCGUACCCCGUUGCUUCGGCGGGCCCGCCGUUUAUUCGGCCGCUGGGGAACCGCCGGUUCCCGGGCCCGUGCCCGCCGGAGACCCCUUGAACACUGCCUGAAGGUUGCUGUCUGAGUGAUUUAUAUAAUAAAAACAAAACUUUCAACAACGGAUCUCUUGGUUCCG
rnacentral:misc_RNA from 1 species